rnacentral:rRNA from 1 species
UACAGAGGGGGCAAGCGUUGUUCGGAAUUACUGGGCGUAAAGGGCGCGUAGGCGCCUUCUAAGUCGAACGUGAAAUCCCCGGGCUCAACCCGGGAACUGCGUCCGAUACUGGAAGGCUUGAAUCCGGGAGAGGGAUGCGGAAUUCCAGGUGUAGCGGUGAAAUGCGUAGAUAUCUGGAGGAACACCGGUGGCGAAGGCGGCAUCCUGGGCCGGCCCUGACACUGAGACGCGAAGGCGUGGGAGCGAACGGG